rnacentral:rRNA from 1 species
UACGAAGGGGGCUAGCGUUGCUCGGAAUCACUGGGCGUAAAGGGCGCGUAGGCGGCUCUUUAAGUCAGGGGUGAAAUCCCGGAGCUCAACUCCAGAACUGCCUUUGAUACUGAAGAUCUUGAGUUCGGGAGAGGUGAGUGGAACUGCGAGUGUAGAGGUGAAAUUCGUAGAUAUUCGCAAGAACACCAGUGGCGAAGGCGGCUCACUGGCCCGAUACUGACGCUGAGGCACGAAAGCGUGGGGAGCAAACAGG